AGCCGUCUUUGGGGGUUGGACCCCGCUUUCCGUCGUCCCAUCCUCACCGAUUACAGCCUCCUGAGAUUCUUCAGUAGCGGCUUUGCGUUUCAGGCCUUUCUUUCCGCUGCCGCCGCUCUUAUCUCCGGCCUUCGCCAUGAUCUAGAGGCUAAACUAAACAUUGUUGAGGAAAAAAGACAUCAUGCUUGCCCUCAAGUAGCUUACAGUUUGGAAGAAGAUAAAACAGAAUUCUAGUAACCUCGGAGCUUCGCAGUAUGGAGAAGAUGGAGACAAAGAAAAAGGAAAAGGCCCCAAAGGGAGAAAAGCCAUGAAAGGAAACUGGAGAAAAGAAUGAAAACUUGAAAGAGAAGAAGAAGAGAACCGAUACUCAAAAUAUUUUGAAAGUUUUAAAAAGCAAAAGAUUAGAAUUAGUUAACAACCAUUUUUACAAGUGUUGCUUAUGCUUCCUCUCCUCAUUUUACAUCUGCUUCCUGCCUCUGCCCCUACCGCAUCUAUCUCCCCCUCCCCAAGUCUUUCUGAUACAAGAUACUUCACAAAAAUAAUACUAGUUUUGUACAUGUUCUUUCAAUAUGUGUAUUUUAUCUAUUGCUCAUCAUUACUUGGGUUCCUCUAAUUAAAUAAGAACUGCUUCUAACUACUUAAUCAUUACUGGUAAUGAAGUUGUCCUUCUUGUGAGGGACUGCCUGAGAGGAUGAUCCAGGGAGCAAAUCAGGAUUUGAGCCUACCUCUUAAUUCUCUCCUCAGGAUGGAAGCAACUUGUACUCUAGACCUCAUCAAGUUGUUCUAUAUUCUUGUUCAUGUUUAUAUUUUGGGUUUUUUUUUUAAGGAUUUUUUUUUUAAACCUGCAUAUCCUUGGUAUUAUUUGAAAACUAUUGUUUGACUUCAGCUCUUUUCUUGGAUAUGAAUAUAGCCAAUAGUAAUAUUUAUGAUACUUUGUACAAGAGUGAGGGCAAAUAAAACCUAGUUCAUUCCUUUUAUUAUAGGUUUGCCUUCUAAGGAGAAACUACCCUGAGAUGAAGGUAGCAUUAUUUUUGGUAGCAAAUAUUAUGUGCUUUGGUAUUCUUUUUUUUUAACUUUUCCUGAUGUAAUAAUAAACCUCUUUCAUUCAGUAAGCUUAGGAGGGUAAAGGGAGAGAUAGCUUCAUCCAAUGAUGGCCUUUCUUUGGAGAUUUGUUUUAAUAAUUACCUAGGCUUUAUUUUCUGUUGCCCUGUUUGUUAACAUUCCUUGAUGCUAGAAGUGGUUUCCGUCAUAAGCUUUUAUCAUCAUAACUUUACUUCCCAGAGGCAAAGGACCUGCUCUGUUCCUGACUACAUUAUGAAACACUUGAGUUUGUCUGACCCAUCCCUCCACUGGUUGCACCACCCAGGACACUAUGAAAAUUAAGAUGCCACCGACUGGAGGUCAGCAGUAAACCACUGGUUCAGAUGAACUUAACCAACAUGGAACCCCAAAGUCCAGGCUGUGGAAGGUCAUCUCUGAACCUCCUUGAAUCUUUCCCAGCAUCUGGGUCUUUUCUAAUGAAUUGGCUCUUCGCAUCAGAUGGCCA